GUUGUGGUCAAUGGUUGCUAGCAGACUAGAUAACUGGACGACGGCAGGAGCAAUAUGUUUUAACAGGGAUACAAAAAUGCUGCAGCCGAACGGCGCCAGGACGAGCUUGUCCAUGUCGCUGGGCCGCCGCUGAGGCACCGGGGAGGCAGACAUGAAGACAGGCAGCUGGGCCAACAGCAGCGACAAGAGCAGAGACGAGGAGGAGUCCAGCAGCACUGCAGCAGGAGAAGAGGAAGAAAACGGAAGCAAUUAACGAGGGAAGCACCGUCAUCUGGCUGUAAUGAUGAUGACCUCAGGCCGCGGCUGUCAACUCCGGGGAAGAUAUUGCAGCAUAAUAUAAACAAUAGCUCCAGACUUGGCUGGUGUAGCACCUCGCUGACAGAUUGCUGUUUUUACAGGCAGAUCAUGAAACACAUCAGCAUCACUCCUGGACGGGGAAGAAGCAGCGCCAUGAAUGCUGCUGAUUGUCACACCUGCAACUGGAUAGGUGCAUGUGUUGCUGCUAUAAAUUAUAUAGCAGAGCAGAACGGGGGCCAAGUCAGACUCUGCAAAACAUGAAUCAUCAGCUCCUGAACUCCCGAAGCAGUCUGCUUCCUUUUCUUCUGCUGGUGGGUCCAUCCAUGGCAGCUUCCACGCCGCACAAGAAAAGAUUUGGCGCUUGCUGGAGCUUUGGGCCUGAUGAGUUGAGUCACCUGUCUGGUUUGUGCAGCCUUUUUUUUGAGGCGCGUAGUGCCAUGUCUGCAUCACACAUGUCAUUGACUGCUGUAUGUGACAAAACAGGAAGAUAUGGCCCAACCCCUGCGAAUCAUACAAGUCAUUCAAAGUGCAUCUGCAACUAAAGGGCAUCGGGUUUGAGUCCCUAGAUUAGGGUAUGAACAGAAUCCCAUUCUGUUCGCUACUUUUAUGGACAGAAUUUAUAGGCACAGCCAGGCAAUGGUGGCUGCAGGAUUGGGUCUCUGCAUUUUAUAGAUGAUGUGGUCCUGCUGGCUUCAUCGGGCCGAGCUCUUCAACUCUCACUGGAUCGCUUCACAGCCGAGUGUGAAGCGGCUGGGAUGAGAAUCGGCACCUCCAAGUCAGAGUGCAUGGUUCUCGCUCGUAAAAGGGUGGAGUGCCAUCUCCGGGUUGGGGAUGAGAUCCUGCCCCGAGUGGAGGAGUUUCAAUACCUCGGGGUCUUUUGGACAGGGGGAUUGGUGCGGCAUCUGCAGUGGUGUGGACUCUCCAUCGGUCCGUUGUGGUGAAGAAGAAGCUGAGCCAAAAGGCAAAGCUCUCAAUUUACCAGUCGAUCUACGUUCCUACCCUCAUGAUGGUCAUGAGCUGUAGUGACCGAAAGGACAAGGUCACAGGUACAAGCGGCCGAAAUUAGUUUUCUCCGUAGGGUGGGGGGCUGUCCCUUAGAGAUAAGGUGAGAAGCACUGUCGUCCGGUAGAAAUUCGGAGUAGAAGCGCUGCUCCUUCGCAUUGAGAGGAGCCAGAUGCCUCCCAGACACCUCCAUGGGGAGGUGUUCAGAGCACGUCUGACCUGAAGGAGGACUCCGGGAAGACCCAGGGCACGUUGGAGAGACUGUGUAACGGUACUCAACACUAUGAAUAAUAUAAGACGGGGGUGUCCACACUUUUUCCAGCGAGGGCCACAUAGUGAAAAAUGAAAGGAUGCAGCUUUUCCAUUUUGAUAUUUUGUAAAGCAACACAAGUAGAUAAACUGCAUCUCAGCCUUGUCAUAUUGGUGAAAAAGCCCAUUAUUAAUAUCAACUUCGCUCUUUGCUCUUUUUCCUCCAUUUUUUUGCUGUUUUUUUUUUUCAAAUAUUUCAACUUUCUUCUUACAUACAUUGUUUUGGUUGUUCCAUUGUUUUGUUUGUUUCUCAUAAUAUUACAACUUUAAAAAAAUAACAUAUUUUUCCUUACAUUAAUUAUAAUAAUAUUUCAACUUUUCUUCAACUAUUCUAUUAAAAUGAUGUUUUUUUUCCUCAUAUCACGUUAGGCUCAUUCAAUUUUUCAGAAUAUUUUGAUUUUUUUUUCUCGUAGAAUUUUUCCAUUUCAGUCAUUUUUUUAAUGUUUCAACUAUUUCAACUUUCUUUUUGUAAAUGUUUUCUUCUCGUGAUUAUGACUCUUGUAAUUAUCCAAUUAUAGCUUUAUCCACAAUCUAAUUUUCCAAAAAUUACAACUUUGUUGUUUUGUUUCUCAUAAUAUUAUGACUUAAAAAAAACUGCUUUUUUCUUUAAUAUUUCAACUUCAUGCUACUAAAAUGACGUUAUUUUUCCUCAUAAUAUUGCAAUGUUAUUCUCAUAAAAUUACAACUUUUUCUUGUUAGAUUACAACUUUUUUCUCUGAAUAUUUUGACUUUGUUCUUGUCAAAUUACUGCGGACUUUUACACUUUUGCUGCUGUUUUUUCUUUUUAUUAUUUUUUUUAAUUACAAUAUGCUGCGGACUGCACUUUGGACAAUAAGGUGAUCAUCUGUGGUGCGUUCAAGGACCGUCGAAAAAGAUACGACAUCUCAACGCUUGAUGAAAAAACAUUAUGAAUGAAGCAUAAAGACAUAAAAAAGUAAAAAUUGUGGGCUUUUUGAACAGUGCUACACUACAUGCUGUACAUUUUACCUGUAUUAUCACAUAUUUAUAAAUUAUUAUAUAACGGUGAAUGACAUGUUUUCGGGGGGGAUGCCUAUACAAAUACAUAAAUAACCCUUUUAUUUUUAUUCAUACAAUUUUUUUUUGGACCAAAAAUUUGCACAUUUGUGGGGUCAUGAAUGCUGAAUCGCGAAUGUGCGGGGAAAGCCUCUAUGAAUGAACCAGUUAACGCAUCAGGGCGCAGACAGAGUGGGAGAAAGGGAAAGACGAGGGACACCCACGUACUACAAAAAGGGAACCUUUCGUGUGGAAACACUCUUUCCAUCGUCCUUUCCUUCUCAGACUGGUGUCAAUCGGCCCGUGAGUGCCGAGCCUCUGCAGCUCCCGCUUCCUCCUCCUAGC